rnacentral:piRNA from 1 species
GCCAUCAAUUUGGGAAACUAGUAGAGAGU